AUACGUAGGUGACAAGCGUUAUCCGGAUUUACUGGGCGUAAAGGGCGUGUAGGCGGUCUUGCAAGUCAGAAGUGAAAUUCCUGAGCUCAACUCGGGCGCUGCUUCUGAAACUGCAGGACUUGAGUGCUGGAGGGGAUAGCGGAAUUCCUAGUGGAGCGGUAAAAUGCGCAGAUAUUAGGAAGAACACCGGUGGCGAAGGCGGCUAGCUGGACAGUAACUGAGGCUGAGGCGCGAAAGCGUGGGGAGCAAACAGGAUUAGAUACCCUGGUAGUCCACGCUGUAAACGAUGAAUACUAGGUGUGGGGGGUAUCGACUCCCUCUGUGCCGCAGUUAACACAAUAAGUAUUCCGCCUGGGGAGUACGGCCGCAAGGUUGAAACUCAAAUGAAUUGACGGGG
rnacentral:rRNA from 1 species